AUUGAACGCUGGCGGCAGGCCUAACACAUGCAAGUCGAGCGAGCGGCGGACUGGUGAGUAAUUGAGUGGGAUCUGCCUGACCGAGGGGGAUAACGACUGUAAACGGUGGAUAAUGCCGCUUACUAUCGGAUGAACCGAUGUGGGAUUAGCUAGUAGGUGGGGUAAAGGCUCACCAAGGCGACGAUGUUUAGCUGGUCUGAGAGGCUGAUCAGCCACACUGGGACUGAGACACGGCCCAGACUCCUACGGGAGGCAGCAGUGGGGAAUAUUGCACAAUGGUCGAAAGCCUGAUGCAGCCAUGCCGCGUGUAUGAAGAAGGCCUUCGGGUUGUAAAGUACUUUCAUCGGGGAGGCGUUACCCGCAGAAGAAGCACCGGCUAACUCCGUGCCAGCAGCCGCGGUAAUAC
rnacentral:rRNA from 1 species